rnacentral:rRNA from 1 species
AUUGAACGCUGGCGGCAUGCCUUACACAUGCAAGUCGAACGGCAGCGGACCUUCGGGUGCCGGCGAGUGGCGAACGGGUGAGUAAUGCAUCGGAACGUACCUUUCAGUGGGGGAUAACGUAGCGAAAGUUACGCUAAUACCGCAUAUUCUGUGAGCAGGAAAGCAGGGGAUCGCAAGACCUUGCGCUGAUUGAGCGGCCGAUUUCAGAUUAGCUAGUUGGUGAGGUAAAGGCUCACCAAGGCGACGAUCUGUAGCGGGUCUGAGAGGAUGAUCCGCCACACUGGAACUGAGACACGGUCCAGACUCCUACGGGAGGCAGCAGUGGGGAAUUUUGGACAAUGGGGGCAACCCUGAUCCAGCCAUGCCGCGUGAGUGAAGAAGGCCUUCGGGUUGUAAAGCUCUUUCGGCCGGGAAGAAAUCGCACAGGCUAAUACCUUGUGUGGAUGACGGUACCGGAAUAAGAAGCACCGGCUAACUACGUGCCAGCAGCCGCCGUAACAC